ACUUCUCGAAACCUUAAAAAGCCAAAAAGACAUGUUUUCUGCAGCCAUAUAACAUAUUCCCUAAUGAAAGCUCCUCAAUCUAUGUGACUGAUAUCAGAUUAUAGGAGAAGUAUUUGCUGCACAAGGAAAUGAUCGACUGAUCACUUGGUAAGGAUGCAUCUAAUUGGUGAUCCCUCUGCACCAACCAACCUUAAAGGUAAGCAAUGCACGGUAUAUAUUCCAGGUCGAACAUUAUCGAGUUUCAGGCCUUCAACGAGGAUAAUUU
rnacentral:lncRNA from 1 species